rnacentral:rRNA from 1 species
CCUACGGGAGGCAGCAGUGAGGAAUCUUCCGCAAUGGACGAAAGUCUGACGGAGCAACACCGCGUGAAGGAUGAAGGCCUUUUGGUUGUAAACUUCUUUUCUGAGGGAAGAAUUUUGACGGUACCUMAGGAAUAAGCAUCGGCUAACU